rnacentral:rRNA from 1 species
CCGCGGUAAUACAGAGGGUGCAAGCGUUAAUCGGAAUUACUGGGCGUAAAGCGCGCGUAGGUGGUUCGUUAAGUUGGAUGUGAAAUCCCCGGGCUCAACCUGGGAACUGCAUUCAAAACUGUCGAGCUAGAGUAUGGUAGAGGGUGGUGGAAUUUCCUGUGUAGCGGUGAAAUGCGUAGAUAUAGGAAGGAACACCAGUGGCGAAGGCGACCACC